CUGGGUGUAGCACAGAUGGUAGUGCGCUUGCUUUGGGAGCAAGAUGUCGGGGGUUCGAGUCCUCUCACCCAGACCA
rnacentral:tRNA from 1 species